rnacentral:rRNA from 1 species
GAGCAACGCCGCGUGAGUGAUGAAGGUUUUCGGAUCGUAAAGCUCUGUUGUUAGGGAAGAACAAGUGCAAGAGUAACUGCUUGCACCUUGACGGUACCUAACCAGAAAGCCACGGCUAACUACGUGCCAGCAGCCGCGGUAAUACGUAGGUGGCAAGCGUUGUCCGGAAUUAUUGGGCGUAAAGGGCUCGCAGGCGGUUUCUUAAGUCUGAUGUGAAAGCCCCCGGCUCAACCGGGGAGGGUCAUUGGAAACUGGGAAACUUGAGUGCAGAAGAGGAGAGUGGAAUUCCACGUGUAGCGGUGAAAUGCGUAGAGAUGUGGAGGAACACCAGUGGCGAAGGCGACUCUCUGGUCUGUAACUGACGCUGAGGAGCGAAAGCGUGGGGAGCGAACAGGAUUAGAUACCCUGGUAGUCCACGCCGUAAACGAUGAGUGCUAAGUGUUAGGGGGUUUCCGCCCCUUAGUGCUGCAGCUAACGCAUUAAGCACUCCGCCUGGGGAGUACGGUCGCAAGACUGAAACUCAAAGGAAUUGACGGGGGCCCGCACAAGCGGUGGAGCAUGUGGUUUAAUUCGAAGCAACGCGAAGAACCUUACCAGGUCUUGACAUCCUCUGACAACCCUAGAGAUAGGGCUUUCCCUUCGGGGACAGAGUGACAGGUGGUGCAUGGUUGUCGUCAGCUCGUGUCGUGAGAUGUUGGGUUAAGUCCCGCAACGAGCGCAACCCUUGAUCUUAGUUGCCAGCAUUUAGUUGGGCACUCUAAGGUGACUGCCGGUGACAAACCGGAGGAAGGUGGGGAUGACGUCAAAUCAUCAUGCCCCUUAUGACCUGGGCUACACACGUGCUACAAUGGACAGAACAAAGGGCUGCGA